UUUGAUGGAGAGUUUGAUCCUGGCUCAGGACGAACGCUGGCGGCGUGCUUAACACAUGCAAGUCGAACGGGGUGUGCACGGUAGUAAUACUGUGUACAUCUAGUGGCGAACGGGUGCGUAACACGUGAGCAACCUGCCCCGAAGUCUGGGAUAACACUGGGAAACCGGUGCUAAUACUGGAUGUCCUCUCUUGAUCGCAUGGUCAGUUGAGGAAAGUUUUUCGCUUCGGGAGGGGCUCGCGGCCUAUCAGCUUGUUGGUGAGGUAACGGCUCACCAAGGCUUCGACGGGUAGCUGGUCUGAGAG
rnacentral:rRNA from 1 species